GGGGAUAUGGCGAAAUUGGUAGACGCUNCGGACUU
rnacentral:tRNA from 1 species